AUUCCUUUUAUUUCUUUUUCUUCUCUGAUUGCUGUGGCUAAAACUUCCAAAACUAUGUUGAAUAAGAGUGGUGAGAGUGGGCAACCUUGUCUUGUUCCUGAUCUUAGUGGGAAUGGUUUCAGUUUUCACCAUUGAGGAUGAUGUUGGCUGUGGGUUUGUCAUAUAUGGCCUUUAUUAUGUUGAGGAAAGUUCCCUCUAUGCCUACUUUCUGCAGGGUUUUUAUCAUAAAUGGUGUUGAAUUUUGUCGAAAGCUUUCUCUGCAUCUAUUGAGAUGAUCAUGUGGUUUUCUCCUUCAGUUUGUUAAUAUGGUGUAUCACGUUGAUUGAUCUGCGUAUAUUGAAGAAUCCUUGCAUUCCUGGAAUAAACCCCACUUGAUCAUGGUGUAUGAUUCUUUUAAUGUGCUGUUGGAUCCUGUUUGCUAGUAUUUUGUUGAGGAUUUUUGCAUCAAUGUUCAUCAGUGAUAUUGGCCUGUAGUUUUCUUUCUUUGUGACAUCUUUGUCUGGUUUUGGUAUCAGGGUGAUGGUGGCCUUGUAGAAUGAGUUUGGGGGUGUUCCUCCCUCUGCUAUAUUUUGGAAGAGUUUGAGAAGGAUAGGUGUUAGCUUUUCUCUAAAUGUUUGAUAGAAUUCGCCUGUGAAGCCAUCUGGUACUGGGCUUUAGUUUGUUGGAAGAUUUUUAAUCACAGUUUCAAUAUCAGUGCUUGUGAUUGGUCUGUUUACAUUUUCUAUUUCUUCCAGGUUCAGUCUUGGAAGGGUGUGCUUUUCUAAGAAUUUGUCCAUUUCUUCUUGGUUGUCCAUUUUAUUGGCAUAUAGUUGCUUGUAGUAAUCUCUCAUGAUCCUUUGUAUUUCGACAGUGUCAGUUGUAACUUCUUUUUCACUUCUAAUUCUGUUGAUUUGAGUCUUCUCCCCUUUUUUUUUUUUUUUUGAUGAGUCUGGCUAAGGGUUUAUCAAUUUUGUUUAUCUUCUCAAAGAGCCAGCUUUUAGUUUUAUUGAUCCUUGCUAUUGUUUCCUUCAUUUCUUUUUCAUUUACUUCUGAUCUGAUCUUUAUUAUUUCUUUCCUUCUGCUAACUUUGGGGGUUUUUUGUUCUUCUUUCUCUAAUUGCUUUAGGUGUAAGGUUAGGUUGUUUAUUUGAGAUGUUUCUUUUUACUUGAGGUAGGAUUGUAUUGCUAUAAAGUUCCCUCUUAGACUGCUUUUGCUGCAUCCCAAAGGUUUUGGGUCGUCGUGUUUUCAUUGUCAUUUGUUUCUAAGUAUUUUUUGAUUUCUUCUUUGAUUUCUUCAGUGAUCUCUUGGUUAUUUACUGGCGUAUGGCUUAGCCUCCAUGAGUUUGUAUUUUUUACAGUUUUUUUCCUAUAAUUGAUAUGUAGUCUCAUAGCAUUGUGGUCAGAAAAGAUACUUGAUACCAUUUCAACUUUCUUAAAUUUACCAAGGCUUGAUUUGUGACCCCAGAUAUGAUCUAUCCUGGAGAAUGUUCCAUGAGCCCUUGAGAAGAAAGUGUAUUCUGUUGUUUUUGGAUGGAAUGGCCUAUGAAUAUUAAUUAAGUCCAUCUUGUCUAAUGUGCCAUUUAAAGCUUGUGUUUCCUUAUUAAUUUUCAUUUUGGAUGAUCUGUCCAUUGGUGAAAGUGAGGUGUUAAAGUCCCCUACUAUUAUUGUGUUACUGUCGAUUUCCCCUUUUGUGGCUGGUAGCAUUUGCCUUAUGUAUUGAGGUGCUUCUAUGUUGGGUGCAUAAAUAUUUACAAUUUUUAUAUCUUCUUCUUGGAUUGAUCCCUUGAUCAUUAUGUAGUGUGCGUCUUUGUCUCUUAUAAUAGUCUUUAUUUUAAAGUCAAUUUUGUCUGAUAUGAGAAUUGCUACUCCAGCUUUCUUUUCAUUUCCAUUUGCAUGGAAUAUCUUUUUCCAUCCCCUCACUUUCAGUCUGUAUGUGUCCCUACGUCUGAAGUGAGUCUCUUGUUGACAGCAUAUAUAAAGGUCUUGUUAUUGUAUCUAUUCAGCCAGUCUAUGUCUUUUGAUUGGAGGAUUUAAUCCAUUUACAUUGAAGGUAAUUAUUGAUAUGUAUGUUCCUAUUACCAUUUUCUUAAUUGUUUUGGGUUUGUUAUUGUAGGUCUUUUCCUUCUCUUGUGUUUCCUGCCUAGAGAAGUUCCUUUAGCAUUUGUUUUAAAACUGGUUUGGUGGUGCUGAAUUCUCUCAACUUUUGCUUGCCUGUAAAGGUUUUAUUUUCUCCAUCAAAUCUGAAUGAGAUCCUUGCUGGGUAGAGUAAUCUUGUUUGUAGGUUUUUCCCUUUCAUCAAUUUAAAUAUGUUCUGCCACUCCCUUCUGGCUUGUAGAGUUUCUGCUGAAAGAUCAGCUGUUAACCUUAUGGAGAUUCCCUUGUAUGUACUUGUUUUUUUUCCCUUGGUGCUUUUAAUAUUUUUUCUUUGUACCUAAUUUUCGUUAGUUUGAUUAGUGUGUGUCUUGUUAUGUUUCUCCUUGGAUUUAUCCUGUGUGGGACUCACUGUGCUUCCCAGACUUGAUUGACUAUUUCCUUUCCCAUGUUAGGGAAGUUUUCAACUAUAAUCUCUUCAAAUAUUUUCUCAGACCCUUUUUUUUCUCUUCUUCUUCUGGGACCCCUAUAAUUUGAAUGUUGGCAUGUUUAAUGUUGUCCCAGAGGUCCUCAAUUCUUUUCAUUCUUUUUCCUUUAUUCUGCUCUGUGGUAGUUAUUUCCACUAUUUUAUCUUCCAGGUCAUGUAUCCAUUCUUCUGCCUCAGUUAUUCUGCUGUUGAUUCCUUCUAGAGAAUUUUUAAUUUCAUUUAUUGUGUUGUUCAUCAUUGUUUGUUUGCUGUUUAGCUCUUCUAGGUUGCUGUUAAACGUUUCUUGUAUUUUCUCCAUUCUAUUUCCAAGAUUUUAGAUCAUCUUUACUAUCAUUACUCUGAAUUCUUUUUCAGGUAGACUGCCUACUUCCUCUUCAUUUGUUAGGUCUGGUGGGUUUUUAUCUUGCUCCUUCGUCUGCUGCAUAUUUCUCUGUCUUCUCAUUUUGUUUAACUUACUGUGUUUGGGGUCCCCUUUUCGCAGGCUGCAGAUUUGUAGUUCCUGUUGUUUUGGUGUCUACCCCCAGUGGGUGAGGUUGGUUCAGUGGCUUGGGUAAGCUUCCUGGUGGAGGGGACUGGUGCCUGUAUUCUGGUGGGUUGGGCUGGAUCUUGUCUUUCUGGUGGGCAGGGCCACAUCUGGUUGUGUGUUAUGGGCUGUCUGUGACCUUAUUAUGAUUUUAGGCAGCCUCUCUGCUAAUGGAUGGGAUUGUGUUCCUGUCUUGCUAGUUGUUUGCCGUGGGGCAUCCAGCACUGGAGCUUGCUGGCCGUUGGGUGGAGCUGGGUCUUAGCGUCGAGACGGAGAUCUCUGGGAGAGCUCUCACUGAUUGAUAUUACGAGGGGCUCAGAGGUCUGUGGUUGUCCAAUGUCCCAAACUCAGCUCUCCCACCUCAGAGGCUCAGGCCUGACAUCAGGGCCAGAGACCAAGACCGUGUCAGCCACACGGCUCAGAAGAAAAGGGAGAAAAAAAAGAAAGAAAAAUAAAAUAAAAUAAAAUAAUUAAAAUUUAAAAACUAAUUUAAAAAAAGGAGAGCAACCAAACCAAUAAACAAAUCCACCAAUGAUAACAAGCGCUAAAAAUUAAACUAAGAUAAACAUAAAAAUCAUAAACAAAUCAGUAGCAGACAGCAAACCGCAAGUCUACAGUUGCUCCCAAGGUCCACCACCUCAAUUUUGGGGCAAUUCGUUGUCUAUUCAGAUAUUCCACAGAUGCAGGGUACAUGAGGUUGAUUGUGGGGAUUUACUCUGCUGCUCCUGAGGCUGCACGGAGAGAUUUCCCUUUCUCUUCUUUGUUCGCACAGAUCCUGGGGUUCAGCUUUGGUUUUGGCCCCACCUCUGCUUGUAGGUCGCCCUAGGGCAUCUGUGCCCCGCCCAGACAGGAGGGGCUUAAAGCAGCGGCUGAUUAGGGCGCUCUUGCUCACUCAGGCCAGGGGUAGGGAGGGUGUACGGUAGUUAUAUAUGGAAUGUGGGGCGAGCCUGUGGCAGCAGAGGCCAGCAUGACGUUGCAACAGCCUGAGGCGUGCUGUGUGUUCUUCCAGGGAAGUUGUCCCUGGAUCAUGGGAUCCUGGCAGUGGCGAGCUGCACAGGCUCCCUGGUGGUGGGGGUUGGGGAGUUGUGGAUAGUGACCUGUGCUUGCACAUAGGAUUCUUGGUGACAGCAGCAGUAGCGUUAGCAUUUCAUGCCCAUCUCUGGGGUCCAAGCUGAUAGCCACAGCUCGCGCCUGUCUCUGGAGCUCGCUUAGGUGGUGCUCUGCCUUCUGUGGGCACAUGAGGAAGGAAUCCCCUCUCCUCACACACCCUGAAACUGUGGUCUCUUGCCUCUUUGGCAGGUCCAGACUGUUUCCUGGACUCCCUCCCAGCUAGCUGUGGCGCACUAGUCCCCUUCUGACUUCACGCAGCCAACCCCAGUCCUCUCCCUGGGAUCUGACCUCCAAGCCGGAGCCUCAGCUCCCAGCCCCGCAGACAAGCCUCUCAGGCUGGUGAGUGCUGGUCGGCACUGAUCCUCUGUGCAGGAAUCUCUCCGCUUUGCCCUCUGCACCCCUGUUGCUGCGCUCUCCUCAGUGGCUCAGAAGUUUCCCCCCUGCCCACCCACUGUCUCCACCAGUGAAGGGGCUUCCUAGUGUGUGGAAACUUCCUCUUUCACAGCUCCCUCCCAGAGGUGAAGGUCCUGUCCCUAUUCCUUUGUCUGUGUUUUUUCUUUUUUCUUUCUCCCUACCCAGGUACGUGGGGAUUUUCUUGCCUUUUGGGAAGUGUAAUGUCUUCUGUCAGCAUUCAGUAGAUGUUCUGUAGGAGUUGUUCCACAUGUAGAUGUAUUUUUGAUGUAUUUCUGGUUAGGACGGAGAUCUCCACAUCUUACCGCUCUGCCAUCUUGAAGGUCCCCCCACUUCAUUUCUUUUUAUUGCUGAAUGAUAUUUUGCUGUAUGGAUAUACCACAUUUUUUUAUCCAUUCAUUAGUUGAAGGACAUUUGGAUUAUUUUCUACUUUUUGGCUAUUAUGAAUUAUUCUGCCAUGAAUAUUCAGGUACAAGUUUUCAUGUAGACAUAUGUUGUUAUUUCCCUUGUGUAUAUACCUAAGAGUGGAAUUGCUGAGCCAAAUGGUUACUCUGUGUUUAACCUUUUGGGGAACUGCCAGCAUGUUUUCCAAAGUGGCUGUACCAUUUUACAUCCUCAGUAGCAGUGUAUAAGGGUUACAGUUUUUCUUCAUCCUCAUUAACACUUCUUAUUUAUCGGUAUUUUUUAUUAUAGCGAUCCUAGUGGGUGUGAGGUGGUUUUAAUUUACAUUUUCCUCCUGGAUAAUAAUAUUGAGCAUCUCUUCAUUUGCUUAUUAGCCAUUUGUAUAUCUUCUUUGAAGAAUUGUCUGUUCAAACUCUUUGAUCACUUUUUAAUUAGGUUAUUUUUUCUAUAUUGUAGGAGUUCCUUAUGUAUUCUCAAUAUAAGUCUUCUAUCAGAUAUAUGAUUUAUAAAAACUUUAUCCUAUUCUCUGGACUUUUAAAAAAUUUUUCCUGAUAAUAUCCUUUGAAGAACAAAAUUUUUAAUUGUUAGGAUGUCCAAUUUAUUUUUUUCCUCUGAUUGCUUGUGCUUUUGGUGUUAUAUUUAAGAAACCACGGCCUAACCAAAGGUCAUAAAGAUUUACACCUGUGUUUUCUUCAAGAGUUUAGUAGUUUUAGCUCUUACAUUUAGGUCUUUGAUCCAUUUUGAGUUAAUUUGUAUAUGGAUUGAGGUAGAGGUCCAGCUGAUUCUUAAUAAUGUGAAUAUCCAGUUAUCCUAGCACUGUUCCUUGUAAAGACAGUUCUUUCCCCAUUUAAUUAUCUUGGCACUCUUAUCAGUAAUCAGUUGACCAUAGACACAUGGGUUCUAUUCUAUAGACAUAUAGGUAAAUUCUGUUUCAUUGAUCUUUAUGUCUUUGCUUAUGGCAGUACCAUACAGUCUUGAGUACUUCAGCUUUGUAGCAAUUUUGAAAUUGUGUUAUGUGAGUCUUCCAAUUCUGUUCUUUUUCAUUUUUGGCUAUUCUGUAUCUCUUGUGUUUGCAUAAGUAUUUUAGGAUCUGCCUGUCAAUUUUGUAAAGAAAUCAGCUGAGAUUUUGGUAGGGAUUGUAUCAAAUCUGUAGAUCAAUUUGAGAAGUAUUGCCAUCUUAGCAAUAUUGAGUCUUCUAAUCCAUAAAACAUGGGAGAGAAGUCUUUCCAUUUAUUUAGGUCUUCUUUAAUUUCUUUCAACAAUGUUUUGUUGUUUUCAGAGUUUAAGUUUUGUACUUUUGUUAAAUUUAUUCCUAAGUAUCUUAUUCUUUUUGAUGCAAUAAUAAAUGGAAUUGUUUUCUUGUACAUAUUCAUUCUCUGAAUGUUUGCUGCAAGUGUAUAAAAAUACAAUUGAUUUUUUAUAUUGAUUUGUAUUUUGCAAAUUUGCUGAACUCAUUUAUUACUUUUAAUCGUUUUUUUAGUGAAUUCAUUAGGACUGUCUGUUGUAAGAUCAUGCCAUCUGUGAAUGCAGAUAGUUUACUUCCUUUUCAAUCUGAAUUCCUUUUAUCUAAUUUUCUUGCCUGAUUAUUCUGAUUAGAACCUCCAGUACAAUGUUGAAUAAAAGUAGUGACAGUGGAAUUCUUGUCUUGUUCCUGAUCUUAAGGAGAAAGGAAGUAUUCAGUCCUUUAUCAUUAAGUAUGAUUUAGUUGUGAGGUUUUUGUAUUUGCCUUUUAUCAGAAUGAUGAAGUUCCCUUGUAUUCCUAGUUCUUUAAUAUUUUUAUCCUGAAGGGUGUUGAAUUCUAUUAAUAUGGUGUAUUACAUUAAUGUAUGUUCAAAUCUUAAACCAAUCUUGCAUUCCUGGGAUAAAUUUCACUUGGUCAUGGUGUAUGUUAUAGGUUGAAUUGUGUCUCUGGAAAAAUGUAUAUGUUGAAGUCCUAACUCCCAGUAGCACAGAAUAUGACCAUAUUUGCAAAAAGGAUCACUGAAGAUGUAAUUAAAGAUGAGGUCAUACUGAAUUACAGUGGACCCUAAUCUAACGUGACUGAUGUCCUUAUAAAAAGGAGAGAUUUGGACGUAGACAUGCACACAGGGAGAAUGUGAAUUGAAAAUUGGAGUUACACUGCCACAAACCAUGGAACUCUCAGAAGGUAGGAGAGAGACCUGGAGCAGAUUCCUCAGAAGGAACCAAUCCUGCCAACACAUUAAUCUCAGACUUUUAGUCUUCAGAACUGUUCCUUAAGCCCCCCAAUUUGUGGUGCUUUGUUAUAGCAGCCCUAGCAAACUUAUACAGUGUAUUCUCCUUUUUAUAUAUUCUUGGAUUUGGUUUCUGUGUUUUGUUGAGAAUUUUUGCCUCUGUAUUCAUAACAGAUGUUGGUCUGUAGUUUUCUUUACUUGUGAUGUCUUUGGAGCUAUUUUCUUAUUGUUUCUCUAUGCUUACCAGAUACACCUGAUCAGAACCUACUUCGGAUUUAUAGAAACUUACUCCCAGUGAGACAGAACCAUUACUCCUAUAUAAUUCUAUUCUCUCUCCCCCUUUCUGUACUUGUUAUGUUAUAUCAUAUUAUAUUAUUGUUACUCCUAUAUAUGUUACAAACCUAGCAAUACAUAAGUAUAAUUAUUACUUUAUAUAAUUUUAUGUCUAUUAAAGAAGCUGAUAAAAGAAAGGACAGCAAGAGGAAAGCAAGAAACUCUAUAGAGCUUGUUAUAUUAACCUCUUUGUCCAUCAUUCCUGGUUCUCUUCAUUUGUACCUUAUUUUCUAAGCAAAGAGGAUCCUCUGAAGAUUUUUGGUGGAGGGAAGGGGAUGGUGGUCAUUUAAAUAUGUAGUUAAAUUUGAGGACAAUUGUUCUGGCAGACACGUAUAAACACGUUGGGGUGGUACGAGGGAUAGAAAUUAGGGAUAUAAGUUAGGAGGCAGUUGAAGCCAUCAAAGUACAAGUUCAUGGGAGCCUGGAUUUGGCUCGAUUUGGGCUCUAUUGCUUUGUAGUUUGCUUUCUGGAGCUGGGAAUGUCUAAGACAGUGCGAACAGGCACUGACUCAGAGUUGGGCAUGGAUAGGUAUACUCAUCAAAACUUGUUGAUGUACUGAGGUCCAUCCAAGAAUGAACCCAAGAUGGGAAAAAAUGCCUGGUCUGGUGAUUUGAGGGGCCUCAGAGAGACUUUCCCAUGGGAAGCCUCUGUGGAGAACACGAUGCCUAGCAAAUAAAACCCAUUCCAGGCCAUGGUGAUAAAAGAAAAUUGCCACACAGCUAUGUGUGAAUGCAAGGCAGGAGGGGGGAAGGAGGAGAAGGAGAGAUUCUUCCCCAUGCACGUGUCCCUGCAGCUGUCAGGGAUAAGGUUACAGACCGUGGAAGAUAAUGCAGAAUUCCCCUUCCCUUUCUCAGGGCAGAUGACCUUUCAGAAAUUAAACAAAUCAAUUAUGUGUCCUCAGAGGAGGCAUGUUUGAUUGCCUUGAUUCAAUGGGCUCCAUUGUUUCAGGUGAAGCCAGGUGAUUUAAUUCAUCACUGAUAUCCUCAUUAAGAGGUUUUGUCUGUGAAUUUUCCUCUGGAAUAAUUUCAUAAGAUCUGGAUUAGACAUGUGUUUAAACACACACACACACACACACACGCACACGCACGCACACACACACACACACACACACACACACAAUAAAGAGCAUUCUCCCCUAAGUGCAGAGACAACAUUGGUGCUAUAGAUCAUACAGAGUGAUUGUUCUAGUACAAGGGAGAGGUAACCAAGACCUGAAUAAGGUCAUAGUGAUAAAGGUUUACUUGCUGAAUGCUCAUGGAGAUAAUCGAGGGUAGCAAAAAGUAAUAAUAGCAAAUAUUUGGAAGUUUAAAAAUAACCCGUCAAUCAAAGAAGUAAUGAAAGUGAGAAUUAGAAAAAAUGCUGAUUAGCACUGCUGAUUUCAUACUACUGAGUGGUCUCAAAAUCAUUUAAUGUUGUGCCCCUUGACAUCUGCAGAAGUGAAUGCAAGUCUUCUCUGAAGGAGAAUUCUCUCAGAAAAGUUCAAGGAAUAUGAUAUCACAGUCAAAAAUUUAAAACCAAACCAAACAAAAAUAAGAAACAAACCACUGUGAUAAGAGACAGCAGGUAAAAAACAGAGCCUCCACAUAUUGAUAUUAUUAGACACAGAUUAUAAAAUAAAUAUAAUGUAUUUAAAUGAAAGAAGAGGUUGAACACAUAAGCCAUUUGAAUAAGGAGAAAGAAUAUUUUUUAAGUGAUCAAGUAGGUCUGAUAAAAGAACUAAAUGAAUGUUUGGAAAUGAAGAAUAUAAUUGGAAUUUUUUGCCAUAAAGAAAACCAAAAUUUUUACAAAGUCAGAUAUAUCAUUUCUGUUACCUUUAUGUUUAUUUGUUUUAAUACUCUAUUUAGAAGUUAGUUUGGUGUAGGUGAAAGACAGAAUCCAAUUUCAUAUUUUCCAGAUGGCUACCCUCUUAUCCUAAUACUGUUUAUUAAAUAUAUCAUUUUACCCCACUGAUUUGAAAUGCCAGCUGUAUCAGAAACUACUCCCAGUAUUUAUCUACAUCUGUUUCCGGGAUAUCUGUUCUGUCCCAGAUCUGUCUGUUCGUGUGCUGGUACCAAACUGUUUUCAUUACUAUAAUGUUUAUCCUUUUUUUCAGUAUCUGGUAGGGCUAGUCCUCCAUCAUUAGUCUUUUCUCACUUUAUUUCCAAAAUAAUAGUGUUGGUAUUUUUCUUGAGGAAGUUUGAUUUAUAUAUUUAUUUGGAGAGGAUUGCCAUCAUUUUCCAUCAUCUAAGAAUGUCUUACUAUUUAUUCAGGUCUUUUUUAAUGACCUUUCAAAGUGUUUCUAAGUUUUCUUCAUGUGAAUCUUGUAUUUUUAUUCCUAGGUAUUCCAUCGUAGUUCUUGUUUUUGUAAAUUGAAUAUUUUCUAGGUAAUUGUUCAUAUAUUGGAUAACUAUUGAUUGUGUUUUAAUUUUGUUAUCAGCCACCUUACUAAAUUAUCUUAUUCUUGUAGUGAUGAUUUUUAAAGUUGAUUUUCUGUCAUAAUAUUAUCUCACCUGCAAAUAGUAAUGUUUUCUUCCUUUUUCUUUCCUUUCCCUUGUAAUCUUCCCUUUUCUUCUCUAAUGACAUUGGCUAAUAUCGGCCCAAGUUAAAUAAUACUGGUAAUAAUGUGCAUUCUUGUUUUGUUUCUGAUUUAAUGAAACUCAGUGUUUCACUGGAUAGUUUUUGGCAUUUGUAAUGAUAUAUGUACUUUUUCAUGUUAAGAAACUAUUUGUCUAUUUCUAUUUUAUUAAUAGCAUUUUUUUAAUCAAAAGGGAUAUUGAAUGCUAUUAGAUACCUUUUCAGCAUCUACAGAAAUGUUCAUGUAGUAUUUCUCUUUUGAUAUAUAUUUAAAUUGUAUUAUAUAGUAGAUUCCUUAAUAUUAUGUCAUCUUUGCAUCAUUGAUUUGAGUCUUCCUUCAUCAUGAUAUAUAUUUGAUUUAUGUGCUACUAGAGUCUAUUGGCUAAUGUUUUAUUUACAAUGUUUAGGGAUUGGACCAUGUCAGUGUUAUGUCGAAUUGAUGAAAAGAUUUUGGAAACUUUCCUUUUAGUACUCUGGAACCAUUAAAUAAUAUUAAAGUUACAUGUUCCAAAAAAAAAAAAAGAAAAGUUACAUGUUCCGUAAAGAUUUGAUAGAAUUCACUUACAAAAUUUUCUAAAAAUUGACCUAUUUGUAACUUUCUUCUUUUACUGGGGUCAGUUUUUUGUUUUGGGGGGUUUUUUUGGCUGUGUUGGGUCUUCGUUGCUGCGCACGGGCUUUCUCUAGUUGUGGCAAGAGGGGGCUACUCUUCGUUGUGGUGCGCAGGCUUCUCAUUGAGGUGGCUUCUCUUGUUGCGGAGCACAGGCUCUAGGUGCACGGGCUUCAGUAGUUGUGUCUCUCAGGCUCUAGAGCGCAGGCUCAGUAGUUGUGGCACAUGGGCCUAGUUGCUCCACGGCAUGUGGGAUCUUCCCAGGCCAUGGCUCGAACCCGUGUCCCCUGCAUUGGCAGGUGGAUUCCUAACCACUGCGCCACCUGGGAAGCCCACUGGGGUCAGUUUUAAUAGUUUAUAUUUCCCUAACUGAUUAUGUAUUUGCAUAAAGCUGAACAAUAUAUUCUCUUACAAUUUUUAAAAUUCCUUAAGUAUCUAUGCUUAUUUUUCUAUACUCAUUUUUCAUAUUUAUAUAUGUGCUUCUUUAUUUAUAUUGUUUAUCUAGCUUUGCUAAAUUUUUACCUUUUUGGUUUUGUUUUAAGAACAUUCUGGAGAUAUGUUUAUUUGUUGUAUAGUCUUCUAUUCUUUAAUUGUUGCUUUAUCUUUAAUAGUAUCUCCUUUCUUUUGUUCUUAAGAUUACUGUGUUGUUUUUUUUCUAACUUACUGAAUUGGAUACUUAAUUAUUUACCUUUUCCAUUUGUCUUUCAAUUGACAGAAGCUAUUUUUUGGUAGUUUUUUAAAGAAAGAUUCGUAGGAACUAUGUUCUUUGAGGAUUUAUAUGUUUGAAAUCAUCUGCACGUUGCCUUUAUGCUUAAACUAUACUUUGACUGGAACUAAAAUUCUUGGGUCAUAGGAUCCCUGAGAAUUUUGAAGACAUUAAAUUGCUACAAUGUUGAAUGUUGCUUUAAAGAAGUAUGAAGCAGCUUGAUUUCUACCUCUUCCCCUUGAGGUAAUUUGAUUUUCUGUCUGAAAGAUCAUUUCUUUGAAGUCCAGUAACUUUAUUAGGAUAUGUUCUAGUGCUGAUUAACCUUUGUUGAUUCUUUCUGGAAGAUGGUGUACCUGUUUAAAUGUACAGAUUCAAGUCUUAUAUUUCAGAAUAAUUUUCUUGAAUUACAUUUUGAAUAUUUUUUAUGUGCUUGAGAUUGUUCCAUCUUCUGAAUGCAUAACUGAAUAUCCCAUCUGUCUUCCAUGUAUAUUUUUCCCUAUAACUCUUUAAAAUUCUUUUCUUUUCUUUUUUCUCUUCUUUUGCUCAGUUUUGUUGAGCCUGUCCUCCAUUUCUUUAGCUUGUUUUCAACAACAUUUAUUCUUCUUUCUGCGAUUUCCAUUUCUGUAUGUCAUUAUUUUUCUACGUCUUUCCUGGGUUCAUUCAAGUCAGUUUUAUCUUAUCCUUUGUUGUCUUAUCAUUUCUUACUUCAGUCCUUUUAUCUGUGCUUUGGACUCUUGAUUCAUGGAGUCCACUUUUUCAGUGAAUUAUUUGAAUCCAUAAGAAAUUUUUUGGUCACAGUUUUCAGCUAUACCACAAUAAAUUUUUUUCUGAUGAAUGCUGAAUUUGUUUUGUUUUCUCCUUUGCCUUUUUCCUGCAGUGAUUUUCUCUCCUGGUUCCUUCUUUUAAAAGUUUUAUUGAAAUAUAAUUCACAUACAAUAUAAUUUACCACUUAAAGUGUAUCAUUCAAUAUUUUUACAUACAUUCAUAGGGUCGUGAAACCAUUCCUGGUUCGUUUUUUGGUUCUCUUUUUUGCACACAGAGUCCUUUCUGGACCAGUUAUAUGGGGAAGGAAAAUGUGAGAGAGGUGUAAGAGGCUUUGAACAACCUCUGGACCAACAAGGCUUUGUCCUAACUUAAAACAAAGCCCUGCAUAUACAAGGUCUAGUGGAGUAUAUUGUGAGUGUUAGUGUAUAUUCAAACUUUACAAAAUUUUAAUUGACUAGAAUUGGUAGCUUCAGGGCCACCCAUUAACCUUAGCCUCUCUAUUAUCUUAAAAAUUCUUUUGCAGAAUGUCAUGUCUGUGUGGUUUCAAAAGGGAUCAUAGAGAAUUCUAGAGCCAGUUUGCAAACCUCAGGCUUUUUUUUUUCAAACAAGGAACUGGAUUUUGCUCCUCAAGUUAUUGCAAAACUGUAGACUCUACUUGAGCUCUGCAACAAUAGGCAUCGUCUUUUGGAGUCCUUUCUCUGGUCAAAUUUUCACUGCACUUGGCAGCAGCCCUUUAUAAAUAUUAAAAUUUAGGUCAUGAGUGUUACCUGAUUUCCUCCUAAAUGGAGUUUUUAUUCCAUUUUUAUUCUUAUUGUUUCAGAUUGGUUUUAGCAAGCAGAUUCGGUCUUAGUCAACUCCAGCUGCUAUAACAAAUGCCAUACAUUGGAUGGCGUAUAAACAACAGAAAUUUAUUUCUCACAGUUCUGGAGGCUGGAAGUUUGAGAUCAGGGUGCCAUCAUGGUUGGGUUCUAGUGAGGACCCUUUUCUGGGUUGCAAACUGCUGUCUUGUUGUGUCCUCACAUGGUGAAAGGCUGAGAUAGGAAGCAAGCUGUCUCGUGAUACUUACAAGAGUAAUUGCAUUCAUGAGGGCUCCACUUGCAUGACCUCUCCUAACCCUAAUUUACCUCCUCAAAACCCUACCUCCUAAUACCAUCACAUUGGAGGGUAGGGUUUCAACAUGAAUUCUGGGGGGAAACACACAUUCAGUCCAUAACAGAGUCAGAGAUUUCUUUAUUUUUCCAUCUUAAAAUGAGAGACUGCUCAUUUUAUUAUUAAUUUAGUUCUUUUGGUUAUUUUUCAAUCUAUUUUUGGUUAUUAUUCAAACAUAUUUAAACUUCUAUUUCUGCCCAUCAACUUUAGACUGUAUGUAUUUUGAUUCACCACUUUGUAACUAAGAAAAAAAAACAUAUCUGCAGUUCCUUCUCCUUUCUUUCUCUUUUUUCUUUUCUCUAUUCUCUAUGUUGCCCUGCAACAUCUGCUAGUAUUCCAUUAUUUUUACGACACUAAGAUUUAUGGCAUUUAUAUUCUUCUUUGUAAGUAUAAUUAAGUGUCUGUACUUUUUUUUGUCUGUAACCUAUUCUAAAAAUGGAAAAAAUAGAAAUUGGUUAAAUUAUUAUAGACUGUGUAAAUAUUGUGAACCGUGGAGUAAAAUAGUAUUAUUGGAGCCUCAGAGAAGGAAACAUAAUCCUGUAUCACUAACUCUUGAAAGAGAGUGUUCCAAGUCUCAUGUCAAAUGAAUUAUCUUUUUUAUACUCUGAGGAAAAAAAUAUAUACUGUAUUUUAGUUGCUUCACAUUUCUUGUACAGUACCCCCCCAGCCUUUUAAUUACCUUUCUUUUUUCUUUUCAAUAUAUACAUUAUAUAAAGGUUAUUUAUGAUAUACACAAUAUAUAUAUAUAUUCACCAUAACUUUAAAACAUUAAUUUUCUUCACCAUACUACCUUUUAAUAAAAUCUACUUUCUUCAUGAAGAUAACCUUUCUGGGGUCCGAUGGGACUAGUUACUUUCUUUUGUUUCUUAAUUCAGAGAUAAUUGACAUAUAACAUCAUAUAAGUUUCAGGUGUACAGCAUAAUGAUUCGAUAUUUGUAUAUAUUGCAAAAUGAUCAUCACACUAAGUCUAGUUAAUGUAUAUCACCACACAUAGUUACAGUUUUUUUUCCUUGUGAUGAGAACUUUUAAGAUCUACUGCCUUAGCAACUUUCAAAUGUACAAUACAGUGUUAUUAACUGUAGUCACCAUGCUGUACAUUACAUCCCCAAGACUUAUUUAUUUUCUAACUGGAAGUUUGUACCUUUUGACCACCUUUACCCAUUUUGCCCACUCCCCACCCAUUGCCUCUGGUAAUCACCAAUCUAUUCUCUAUCUAUGAGCUCGUUUUUUUUGUUUUUGUUUUUAGAUUCCAGAUAUAAGUGAGAUCAUACAGUAUUUGUCUUUCUUUGUCUUAUUUCACUUUGAGGGCAUUAUACCCUCAAAGUUCAUCCAUAUUGUUGCAAAUGGCAAGAUUUUCUUUUUUAUGGCUCAAUAAUAUUCUAUAUACAUAUAAACAUACCACAUUUUCUUUAUCCAUUCAUCAAUGGACACUUCAGUUAUUUCUAUUAAAAUAACACUGCAAUGGACAUGGGGUUACAGAUAUCUUUUUGAGUUACUGUUUUCAUUUCCUUCAGAUAAAUACCCAGAAUUGAAAUAUCUGGAUCAUAUGGUAGUUCUAUUUUUAAUUUUUUAAUUGUCAACCAGGACCACAAACACCGUGUAUAACACAUUUGAACUGACAGAUGGCAUAUCUGGUAAUUCUUUGAUUGAAUGCCAGACAUAUAUAUGAAAAUUGUAGAUAUAAAUUGAGGCCCUGGCUAAUGUUUUCUUCUUCCAGAGAAGAUUUACCUGCCAUUUAGCAGGCAGUUAGUGUAGGGACAUUAAACCAAUCUGAGAUGAGCUCAUUUGAAGGUGGGUUUCAGUCUUUUGUGCAUACUCUUCUAUUUCCAACUGAGCCUUAUACCUACAGUGUUACUCUUCCAGAGUCUUAACUGGAAGUCUGGGAUGUAUACGAGGGUCCUUCCUCAUUGGUGGGUUCUGAUCUCUAUAGUUUCUGUCACCCAGCCUGAGAGAUUGCCAAAAGAUCUGAUUGGCUUCCCAGGUUCUUAGCUGACGCUCUUUGCUUUGGUCCUUUCCCUGUUGUACCUGAGCCACUUAAGAUCAGCAAAUUUACUGAAAGAAAUUUUUACAGAAUAUACCACUCUUCUCUUUGGGAUCCUUGCCCUUUAAGUCUUGUCAAUGAUGUCAGCUUCCACCUUAAUAAAUUUAAAAAAAGAAGAGCAAAUGAAAAUAAGCAGAAGAAAGAAAGUAGUACAGAAGAGCAAAAACCAAUGAAUUAGAAAACAGAAAAACAAAGUCAUUGAAACCAGAAAGUGACUCUUUGAGGGAAAAAAGGAUAAACUUCUACCCAGACUGAUCAGAAAAACAAAAACAACAAUAAAACACAAGUUACCAUUAUCAGGCAUAAGAGCAGUAAUAUAACUAUAGAGUCUAUUCAUAUUAAAAAUAAUGAAAGAGUAAAAGACUAACUUUAUGCCAAUCGGUUCAACAACUUAGAUGAAAUAGACAAAUUCCUUGAAAAGCACAAACUACCAAAGCUCACUCAAGAAGAAAUAGAUGGCUUGAAUUAUGCUUUAUCUAUUAAAGAGAUUGAAUUUAUGGUUUAAAACCUUCCUACAAAGAAAACUCCCGGCCUAGAUUGCUUCACUGGGGAACUUAACCAAACAUUGAACAAAGAAAUUACACCUGUUCUACACUUACAUUUCCAGAAUACUGAAGAGGGGGAUACUUCCCAACUCAUUCUAUGAGGACAGCAUUUCCCUGAUAUUGAAACCAUAAAAAUACGUGGAUAAAUAUAUUAACAUACUGACAAUAUAAAACAUUUAUAAUAUUAUCUUGAGGUGUUUAAAAUAUGUAGAAAUAAAAUUCACGACAAUGAUAGUACCAAGUACAAAAGGCAGGAGGAGAGAAAAGGAAAUUAAAGUGUUCUAUGGCCCUUGCAUUGGUGAAAAUACAAAUUUAUGUUAGAUUCUAGUAAAUCAAGAUGCAUGUUCUAAUCUCUAAGGUAACCAUGAAAAGAAUAGUGAAAUAAUGCAAAAGUAGUUAGCUAAUUAAAAGGGAAAUGGAGUGAUAAUUAUUUGAUUAAUCUCUUUUUAAAAUGCAAGAAAGAAGAGUGAAAGAGCACAGAACAGAUGAGACAAAUAUAAAACAAAUAAUAAGAUGGUAGAUGUAAACCCUAAUACAUCAAUAAUUACUUUAUUUAUUUAUUUAUUUAUUUUGGCCAUGCUGCACGGCAUGUGGGACCUUGGUUCCUGGACCAGGGAUCGAACCCGUGCCCCCUGCAGUGGAAGCACAGAGUCUUAACAACUGGGCAGAGAUUACUGAGUCUGGAUGAAACAAAAACGAAACAAAAGCUGUGGUGCUCAAGCAGGGGAGCAUGCAGAGAGAAGCAGAGGAUUUGUGCCUGCAGGUUUCAGAACAGACUACCAAGUGUGUUUCUCAGAGUUGAGGGACUUAUCCUGAAAUGUAAGACCUAAAUCCUUGGUGCACAAUAACGAGGAAAAUGGGUAGGCUGGUGACAGAAAUUUCCCCAAGACAAAAUUUGGUUUAUAGGAACAAAAGGAGAUGAACUAAAUAAAGAAUCAUACAUUUAAGUCCAAUAUAGUGCAUGCUGCUGAUAAAUGUUUAACAGCUGGCUCCCCAAGUGUAGUUCCAACACGGAUGUUGAAUAAUAGUUUUGUUGAUGUUAACAAGUAAGAUGAAAGUGAAAUAAUGAAGACAUAUGUUGGCGUUUCAUUCAUUCAUCAAUAGGCAUGUGUGACAUCUUUGCUGAGUUGGAUAAUAGUUUUUGAAUAUUAGAAGAAUAGUUUGGUUUUUUUAUUUUGGGUUUUUUUAUUUGCUAUUCACAGUGUAAUGGCUACAGACAUGUCAUAUUUGUAAGUUUCAUCUGCAUUAUUUACAUUUUCUCUAUCACUUUCUUAGCUGUAGACCAAGAUUCAGCAAACUACAACCCGAAAGCUACAUACAUAACUUUUAAAUUAUCCAUUCAGAUCUAAAUAUUACAGUGCCUUGACAUGCACCAAAAUACACGAAUAAGUUCUUUUUAGUAGUCAAAUAUUACCAUUUCUUUUUACCUUGAACUUCUGUUUUUUUCCAUUUUUUCCAUAUAAUUAUAUCCCAGUGCAAUAUCAUUGUUUAAAAAAAAUUUUAUUGAUUACCUUAUCAUAGUUCUCUGCAACAAAAAUCAUAUAUCUUAACAAGACUUAUGUGGUGAUCAUUUUGCAGUAUAUACAAAUAUCAAAUCAUUAUGUUGUAACACCUGAAACUAAUGUCAAUUAUACCUCAAUAAACAUGUUUUAAUUUGUUUUAAAUUCCUAUAUCCUUAAGUCUCCUAAAUAUUAAUAAAAGUUAUUAGAAAGUUAUCACUUAAUGAUAUUGGUGAGGCAUUUCUCUGUUAGUUCAUGUAACUAUAGGUAAAUAUUCAAGUACGACAUUUUCAGAAUGAGACAGGCUUAGCGUCAAUUCUGUUCCUCCUUUUAGUUUUUUUAGAUAUCAGAGCCGAGAACCCAUGUUUACAUAAAUAACUUGAUGGAGGUAAAAGGAGUUUUAUUUUUAAAAAUAUCACCCAGGGCUUGGAAAUUCCUUCAAGUUAUAUGCCAAAAUCAAAAAUUAUAAGUGAUCAUCAAAAUUUAUUUUUAAUGCUCCAUCACUGACAACUUGAUUAGAUCCUCCCGCAAUUUUGUUGAAACCCAGGAAUUAGAAACCACACAAUUUGCAAAAAAUUUUGUUUCCUAAGUCUUUAAAGACAUUCUUUUUCUCAAUUUCUUAUAAUUUUGCCAAAAAAAGCCUUUCCAAGACAAAAUUUCUAUUACUUAUUCUUGUAAGUUUUAGAUACAUUUCAUUUUUAUAGCUUUUAAACUGAGAUUUUUUUUAAUUGGAAAUUAUAAAUCCUUUGUGAACAAAGUAUAAUCGUGCUGAAUUUCAGUUUUCUAGUAUAUCCUAAAAUGUCUUAAAAUGGGAAGACAGAUGGACAGAGUUGGAUACUUGACAGUUGUUAGAGAUAAGUUAGUAAUUUAUUUAAUGAUUGAAAAGGAGCAUGUUUAUAAUAAUGUGUUUGAUAUUAUUAGAAAAGCACAUCAAAAUCUGAGAAGGGGGAAUUAUCCCUAAUUAAAUAAAGUUGGUUUUAUAAAGUUCAAGAUACUAUGUUCUAGUUUAUGUUUUGGGAAUAUUUUAUCCUACACCUGUACAGCAGUAGAUGUUCUAUUUUUUUUUUAAUAGACUUUAUUACUUAAGAAGUUCUCAGCAAAAUUGAACAGAAGGUAAAGAGAGUUCCCAUGUAUCCCCUGCUCUCACACAUGCAUAAGGUCCCCCAUUAUCAACAUCCCCCACCAAAGUGGUGCAUUUGUUACAAUUGUUGAAUCUACAUUGACACAUCAUUAUCACCCAAAGUCCAUAGUUUACAUUAGGGUGCACUCUUGGCUUGUAUAUUCUGUGGGUUUGGACAAAUGUAUCCACCAUUAUAGUACCAUACAGAGUAGUUUCACUGCCCUAAAAAUCCUCUGCGCUAUGUCAAUUCAUCUCUCCCUCCCAUCUAAUCCCUUGCAACCACUGAUCAUCUUUUAUUGUCUCCAUAGUUUUACCUUUUCUAGAAUGCGAUAGAGUUGGAAACUCAUAGUAAGUAGCCUUUUGAGAUUGGCUUCUUUCCGUUACUAAUAUGCGUUUAAGUUUACCCGAUGUCUUUUCUCUCAGACUGCAAGUUUUUUUUGGUUUGGUUUGGUUUUUUUUUUUUUUUUUGGCCACACCACACAGCAUGUGGGUUCUUAGUUCCUCAACCAGGGAUCAAACCCACGCCCCCUGCAGUGGAAGCGUAGAGUCUUAACUACUGGACCACCAGGGAAGUCCCACCCCAUGUCUUUUCAUGGCUUGAUAACCCAUCUCUUUUGUGCUGAAUGCUCUUUUGUGCUGAACCCAUCUCUUUUGUGCAAUACCAUUGACUGGAUGUAUUGGUUUAUUUAUCCAUUCACCUACUAAAGGACCAUCUUGGUUGCUUCCAAAUUUUGGUGAUUAUGAAUAAAUAUGCUAUAAAUAUCCGUGUUCAGGUUUUUGUGUAGACAUAAGUUUUCAGCUUUUUUAGGGAAAGACCAAGGAGUGAGAUUGCUGUACUUCAUGGCAAGACUAUGUUUAGUUUUGUAAGAAACCACCAAACUAAACUAAAUAUCUUCGAAAGUGCUGUGGCAUUUUGUAUUUCCAUCAGCAGUAAAUGAGAGUUCCUGUUGCCAGCAUUCGGUGUUGUUAGUGUCCUGGCCAGCACUUUGUGUUUUUAGUGUUCUGGAUUUGGGCCACUCUAAUAGGUGUGUAGUGUGGUAUUUCAUUGUUUUAAUCUGCAUUUCCCUAAUAGCAUAUUAUGUGGAGCAUCCCUUCAUAUGUUUAUUUGCUAUCUGUAUAUCGUCUUUGGUGAGGUGUCUGUUAAGGCCUUUGGCCCAUUUUUUAAUGGAUUGUUGUUUUCUUGUUGAGUUUUAAGUGUUCUUUGUUUAUUUUGGAUAGCUGUGCUUUAUCAGACAUGUCUUACAAAUAUUUCUCCCAGUAUGAUUUGUCUUUUCAUCCUCUUACUUGUCUAUUUUUAAGAAUGCAAUUUAAACUACUUUGUGGAAAGUAAUAGCAAAAGGAAAGUGUUAGACCAUCGGUUAGUGGGGGACUUAUAAAAAGUUUAUUAAUUAUUGUUGCUAUAUGUAUUAUUUACAGUAGAAUCUAUAACAUUCCUGUUAUAAUGUAAUAGGAAUAUAAAAAUUAAAGUAAAUAAAAAAUAUAUAUAAUAAUAUAAAUCUAAUAACUACAUGGUGAAAAAGAAUAAUUGAUCAGCAGGUAGUUGACUAGUAACAGUGAGAAGGAGACAUAUGCCCCAAUAAAAAAUAAAUAUUAGUUCAUAGCAUCCAACCAUCUUUUGGCAAAAGUAAUGAAAAUGUUUCCCCUACCAGUCUGCAUAAGUGUUCAAGAAAAUAUAAAACCCUAACUUAGAUGUAUAUUUCAUUUCCAGAUGUUGCACUAAUCUGCUAGAACCAUUGGAAGUUAGUGUGGAGUGCUUCACUUCCUCCUCCCAAAAAUCAUGCAGAAAUGCAUCUGAGAUGGACUAAGGCACGAUCCAUGCCUUGAAUGCAAAUACUCUCCCAAUUCCAUCACCAAGAAUGGUGGAAAUUCAGAAAGAGUGAUUUGUGGCAGAUUGAUACAUCAUUUAAAAAUAAACGUUGGGACUUCCCUGGUGGUCCAGUGGUAAAGAAUCCUCCUUCCAAUGCAGGGGACAUGGGUUCAAUCCCUGGUUGGGGAACCAAGAUCCCACAUCCCACAGGGCAGCUAAGCCCAUGUGCCACAACUACUGAGCUCGUGUGCCUCAACUAGAGAGCCCGCGUGCCACAACUAGAGAGAGAAAACCUGCACACCACAACUAGAGAUAAGCCCGUGCACUGCAACAAAGAGCCCACGCGUGCAAUGAAAGAUCCUGCAUGCCACAACUAACACACGGCACAACAAAAAAAUAAAUAAAA